AGUGAUUUCGAACACUCUUUAAAUAGGAAGUUGCGAUUAACUUACAAUUUCAACUUGACUAUCACUGGGUAGCAAUUUAUUUAAGCAAUCUCUACUAAAAUCAUUAACUAUUUUAGGUUAUUUUAAGCUACCGGUAAAGAAAGAAUAUGUUUCUUGUAAUACUAUUAAAUUAUGAUAAUUUGGCAAUAUUAACAGACCUAAUAGAACUUCAGUAAAGAACCUAGCAAAUUUUCGAAACAUUUAGUGGCAUUUGAGUAAUUUGAAUUUUUUCUUAACGAUAUUAAAACAUAAGAGUAUAAUAUCUCUUUACAUAUAAUACCUAAUUACAUUUAUUUAUGUGUGAUUAGAUAUAUGCCAUUCCUUUUUUAAAUAUGGGUUAAUUAGGAUCAAAUUGCUAAAGUUAAUUUUUUUUAAAGAAAUAUAGCAACACCGUUAUUGUCUGUCUUCCAUGUUUGAUGUGAAAUCACGUCCUUGAUUGAUAAUUUUGAUAUAUUGAUAUAUUUUCAUUACUCUAAUGUACCCUUAAAAAGAACACUGCGCGUAUUAUUUAAUAAUUUAAAUCCUAGUACAAAUAAUAUCUAAUUUUAGCAGAUUGUAUUUAGCAACACUGCUUGUACCAUAUAUAAUAUUAACGGGUGGAUAUAGACAGUAAUAGUGACGAUGUGAGGGUGGACAAUGAAACUACGCGGGCUGCCAGUAGACGCCGUUCAUUUUAGUCCUGCUGUAACCACGUUGUGCAACUCGCCGCGUAGGUACUAUUUAUCGUGUCACGGUAAGUCCUUUCGGAACGGAUGCAUUUAAAAUAUACGUUAAAAAUGUACAUAAUUUUCAACAAUAAUCCUAAUUUACAUCUUGUUGGAUUACAAAGAUAUAUAUUUAUUUACCUUAAAUACAAAUUGAUUCAUGUUUUUAAACUAAAAAAAUUGCUUAUAUUUGGAUAGAUCGAAUAGGAUAUUUAUCUAUAUUUAGGCAGGUACUUAUAACAUGGUAAACAAGAGGCAAAAUGAAAUAUGAAUAACGAAACAUGAUUGAUAGUUUAUUUCACAAAGCAUUACAUUUUAAUGUUGUGUUUUUAAUAAUUAGGAUACUUUUACGUGCUUAUAAUAUGUAAUAUGAAUAUAAAACAUAUUUAAUGUAUUUACAAUAAUUAGGAAUACCAAUUAAUUUUGAGAUAAACAAGGCACAGCGUUUGUUAUACUAUAAAAGGUUGAUAUAUCACAAAUAAUAUUAAUAAUAAAUAUCUAAUUGCAAUCUUUUGUAUAAAGUUUUAUUUUUAAAUAUCACAGUAUAGUUCACUGUAUCACUGAAUUUUUGUUUAGGUACUAAAUUAUAAUAUCUAAGUAAUACAAAGAAAUAAAUAAAUAUAGUGAACAAAUUGAAAAUCGAUAUAAAAUAUAUCGAGUGAAAUCGGAAUAAUUAGGAUUCCUUUGAAAUAAUGUUCUAUCAGUGAAACUGGAUAUUUCGCCUAAAGAAACAUGAUUCAAUAAAUAACAAAAAUUAGAGCUUCUCAUACUAACUUAUCCAUUUUAUAGAACAUUAAAAGGAUGCCACUUAUCUCGUUUUCAUGCAAGGUGAGAUGCUGUUAUGCAAAGCGCUAUACGCCUCAUGAAACAAAUUUCCGGAUGAAAUGGAAAAAAAUUGUCAGUAAUGACAAAGACAAUAAGUUAAUAAAUUCAAGACUACACUAAAUUAGUUUCUAAGAAUUUAUACAGUGUACAUUAUUACUACUAUUAGUGAGAGAGUUCCUCAGAUAUUUCUUUGGUGAGUACCUACAAAGAUUAACUUUUGUAUAUUUUUAGAAAAUAUAGUCAAUAUAUAUUUUUUCAAUUUAUAUGUAACAUUUUGCUGUUAAGUGUUAUAUUGUGGAAGUUCAUAUUACUGGUUAUUUGAUUAGAAUUUUUUUGUUUAAUUCUGUUACCACAGAAGAUGAAGAAGAAAAUGAUGGUCAAUCGUCGCGUGUUGGAUGGUUGUUGCAUUGACACACAUACUAAUGGUAGUGGAAUUAAACAAAAUAAUUAUAAUAGAAUAACCAAUUAUAUGUGACAAUCCUAAAUACAGUGAGAGCAUCUCUAUUUAUAUUAUCAAUAUGAAAAUGUUGCUUGACGGAUCAACAAGUCAACCUAUUGUUAUUGUGUUUGGGAUGGACAAAGAUAUAGACUAUUUUUUACGUUGAUAACGCAGACAAAUAUAGGUACACAGGUAGAUAUUUACAUAUCUAUAUCUUGUUAUUAUAGAUAAGGGGCUACCCAUAAAUUACAACACGCGAAUUUAACAUUUCCUCUCCCUCGUGCUUGUCACAGCUAUGACGGCACAUAUUUUGGAACUUUACAUCUAAAAAUUAUUAAAUUAAGAUAGCAGUUCCGAAAUUAGUUUAUAAAUGUAAGAUACAGAUGGUCACGAAAUUUAUGACUCCUCUCAUUCCUUAUUACACAAUAUCACAUUGUCGAUCCCUUUUCUCCCGUAAUGUAAUGAAUGGAUGGCCCCUAAGUAAUAGGGCAG